rnacentral:rRNA from 1 species
UACGUAGGGGGCGAGCGUUGUCCGAAUUUACUGGGCGUAAAGAGCGCGUAGGCGGUCCGGUAAGUCCGCUCUGAAAGCCCGGGGCUCAACCCCGGGAGGCGGGCGGAUACUGUCGGGCUAGAGUCCGGAAGAGGCGAGUGGAAUUCCUGGUGUAGCGGUGAAAUGCGCAGAUAUCAGGAGGAACACCGAUGGCGAAGGCAGCUCGCUGGGACGGUACUGACGCUGAGGCGCGAAAGCGUGGGGAGCAAACAGG